rnacentral:rRNA from 1 species
UGCAGAAGCGGGGAUUUAACCAUAAGACGAGAAGACCCUAUGGAGCUUUAGACAUUAAGCAGCCUACGACAAGCAGCCGUGUAAAACAGCUACAAACAACGUUAACCCUCCUGAACUGUCUUUGGUUGGGGCGACCGUGGGAUAAAAUUAACCUCCCAUGAGGACCGGAACUAACCUUCCAGAACUAAGGGCCACUGCCCUAAGCAACAGAAACUCUGACCUAAAUGAUCCGGCCCACCGCCGAUCAACGGACCGAGUUACCCUAGGGAUAACAGCGCAAUCCCCUCCUAGAGCCCCCAUCGACGAGAGGGUUUACGACCUCGAUGUUGGAUCAGGACAUCCUAAUGGUGCAGCCGCUAUUAAGGGUUCGUUUGUUCAACGAUUAAAGUCCU